UUUAAAUGAUGACUUGCCAUGCUAAUACCGAGGGAUCUUUAGGACCUCGAUGAGUUGGAAAUGUCUCAAAUCCCUGAUAAUA